rnacentral:rRNA from 1 species
UACAGAGGUCUCAAGCGUUGUUCGGAUUCAUUGGGCGUAAAGGGUGCGUAGGUGGCGUGGCAAGUCUGAUGUGAAAUCCCGGGGCUCAACCCCGGAACUGCAUUGGAUACUGCCAUGCUAGAGCGCUGGAGAGGAGACUGGAAUUUACGGUGUAGCAGUGAAAUGCGUAGAUAUCGUAAGGGAGACCAGUGGCGAAGGCGAGUCUCUGGACAGCCGCUGACACUGAGGCACGAAGGCCAGGGGAGCAAACGGG